UGGAGCAUCUAGGAUUUGGACUGUUUUCAAAAGGAACUUUUGGGUGUCCCUUUAUAAGAGAGGUACUCGAUCUGGCGAGAGAAGACGGCCAAUGUGGAGCCCACAGUAGGUGAUUUGGGAACUUAUGAGGUCCCUUAGACAUAAAACAGGAAAACAUGCAUGUAGGGGGAAGGGGGUCUCUUUGAGAGAUCUGCCCAGAGGUUGCUCUCAAGCCAAGCUCGGAUAAGCCAGUAGGAGAGUCUAACGCAGGAGGGGACGUGACAUGAAGUGAUCUAGCCAGGUUUGGGCACCAUGGGAACGGUCCAACCCGUAAGAAGAAGCAGGUGGUACAGCCCAAAGGAAAAGGCGUGGCCUAGGCGUCGGAUAGAGGCAGGCUGGUGACAUGGCCUUAUGCUCAAUAGUGAUAGCACGCCGCUAUCUGAGGGCAAAGGCCUGGGCAAGUUAGCUCCGGCUCUUAUCAGGAUCCUGCCAGUGGUUUACUUAUAGAGCUAUGGUAGAAAGCCGGAGCCGGAGCGAACCGGAGCAAACCGGAACCGGAGCUGCCGCUAACCGGGCAAGCGCCUCCAGGGCGGGACUUCCGGUUUAUGGACCAAAAGCGGGCGGGUCAGAGGUCAAGAUCUCGCGUAGCGGCGUGACGUAGGGGGGGCGUAACCAAGCUACCCUCGCGCCGGAAACAGCGUGUCAGGAGCCAGCCCACCGGGAUCGAGCGCGGAAAUUGAAAUCGAUUGAGAGAAGAGGAAGUUCCAAAAUAGUGAAUGGCUGGGAUCCGGUGAAUACUUGGAUGUGUACACCUUAGUUUGGAUAAACUCUUCUAAAAACCCCUGUUGCCUUUUCUUCUGCUUUCUGUACUGCUUCUGCAUGAGUCCACUGAGGUGAGAAGAGGCUACUAGGUCACCUGGAGCUGGAGUUAUGAGCCACGUGUCACGGUACUGAGACCUGAACUCACUCGGGUCCUCUGGAAGAGCUUUUGACCAUGGAGCCACAUCAACACUAGGAGCAAUCGAAGGAGAGGAGCUGUCUUUUCUGUGAAGGUGAGUGAGAAUAUGCAGAUUUCUGUUUGUGUGGAACUAGGAGCCUUCCCAGGCACUUAGGUCCAUAAGUUCUUCGUCUUAGUUUACCUGAAUUUCAGAUGAAACCAGGAAACAGAAAUUGACAAAGGGAAACGAUUUAUUUGUAAAUUGGGCGAAUAUUGAGUAGUUGGCUUAUUAAUUUUAAGUGUGUUUACAAACUAGAAGACAGAAAUUUGUGGAGGUGGUAAUUUUAUUCAACUCUGAGCUUGGAGAACUGAGUUCUAGGCCACAGGCCUCAUAGGAAAGCACUCCCCAUUUUCCCAGGGAGCCUCAGAUCUUGGGUUUUUCUAGGGCAGUGGGUAGAAAACUUCUGCUCUUACAGUCCUUUGUUCUCCCAUAGAGAGAUUUAUUCUAACUCUUCUGCAGUUUUGGAGCCCUGAGGACAUCCUGAAGUCCUAUUAACAUACUAAUAAGGGAAGGAAAGAAGUUUGAGCCCAAGUGUGAAGGAUUAGUCUGCCAGUGAAUAUGGUGAUAAUCAAGUCUUACAGGCUUUGUUUAUUUUGCAUAUUAAUGCAUACUUUGUAGUCUGUUCUGUUAUAUACUCAUUUAAUUUCUUUCCUACCCGGACAAGGCCAUCUUAACAAUUUAUAGGAUGGCAGGAGACCGGCUAGAACAUGGGCAGAUUUAGCUCUGAGGUGCGUUGUCUAGUCCAUCACUGGGUAGAAGGGAACCGAACUCCAGGUCGCUUCUGUUCUCUCUUAAUGGAGAUAGGUUUUUCUUUAAGUCUGGGCUGAGGAAAAUGGAGUUGUAAUGAUACCAUCCUCCAGUUUUAAAAAGGAAAACAACCACCUUUUAUUUUUUUAAGUGUGUGUGGGGGUGAAGGGGCACGGUACAAUUCCCACUCAUAGUCUUUGCCAAGUUCUUUGUGCCUAUGUAUGGAAGUGGAAGCCUUUUGUAUUUUGUCUUGUGUGUGAGCUUCCUUGUGAAUUUCUUUCCUGUAAGGAUUCAAAUUCUCUGAGUGAAAAAAGAUGAGUGUGAUCUCUGCAGGGACCUGCUGUCUCUCAUUAGCAGUGGUUCUCACCCUUCCUAAGUGCUAUGACCCUUUAAUACAGUUCCUCAUGUUGUGGUGAUACCCAAACAAAAUUAUUUUGUCCCUACUUCAAAACUGUAAUUUUGCUUCUGUUACUGAAAGACCCCCCCACUCUCGAAAGAAAAUUAUAUGAGCUUAAGGUCCACAAAUACAAAGUAAAAGUUUUAAGAUUCACAGACUCAGAGCUGAAGCAGGCCUGGGCGAGCCCAGACACGCCCAGGCACAUAGGGCCUGCGUCACCGCUAGAACUAACAGACCAUAAAAGGAAAAAGAAUGCAGAACAAGCCCGGGGUAUCGGAUCUAACUCAUGGGCCAUCUGGCAGGAAGAGAUAAGCCCCUAGCCCCUGACAUUCCAGAUGCCCCAGCCUGCACAUAUUCUUUUACCAUGUUGUAACCUCAUUUGAAUGUGUUUAAAACAGCCAAUUGUGUGUAGCUAUACAUUUGUGCCUCAUUUGAAUAUUGUAUGGAAUAGCCAAUUAUGUGUGACCAUGCUUCUGCGCCUCAUUUGAAUCCACCAAUCCCUGUAACCAUGCAUCUGCUUCUGUAUGCCUGCUUCUGCUCCCCAGAACCCUAUAAAAGCCCCCUGCUGGAUCUGCACGGCGCGGAAGUCUUCCAAAGAGACUGUGUGCCCACAGGUACCUGUGUUAAUAAACCCUUGUGCUGAUUGCA
rnacentral:sRNA from 1 species